UUCGCAUUACAGACAGUCGCUCGACGGACGGCAUUCUGACAGCAUCGCUGACAAGGUGCGCUCACAACUCGAUAGCGACGCACGCGAAAAUUAAUUUCGAGAGGCCAACAAACGCUAUCCAAACUCAGUCUUCGUCGAUCCCAAUUAAAUUCUACUUUAGUCGAACUUCUUCAAAUUCACGAGUACGAAAAUUGACGAACUCUAAUCGAACAAUUAUCACGCGAAACGGUGGCCAACAGUGGGCAUGAUCGAGACGUGGUCGAUAAUUUUGGCGUUACUCGCCGUGGUUCUGGCAACAUGGUAUUACUUCAAAAGGACCUACAGUUAUUUCGAUGAACGAGGAAUCCCGUACGCGAAAACGAUUCCGCUAUUUGGGAGCCUUUGGAGAACCGUGUUCCAACGCGCGCCUUUCGCAGACGUGAUCCUGGAUAUUUAUAAUCACAACCCCGACGCGAAGUACGUCGGUUUCUACGAUUUCACGAUACCGGUGAUCGCCAUCCGCGACAUCGAGCUGCUGAAGGCCGUCACCCUGAAGUAUUUCGAUCAUUUCCAAGACCAUCGAACCUUUGUAACCGACGACGUGGAGCCUCUGUUCAGCAAGAAUCUGUUCACGCUUCGCGGCGACAGAUGGAAGGAAAUAAGAAUGUUGUUGAGCCCGGCGUUCACGUCCAGCAAGAUGAAGUCCAUGUUCAAAUUGAUGUUCGAGUGCGCGGAUCGGUACGGUAACUACCUGGCCGCGUUACCGGAAGGCAAGCAAACUUUGGAGCUGAAGGACAUGUUCACCAGGUACACGAACGACGUGAUUGCCACGUGUGCUUUCGGUGUAAACGUGGACUCGAUGGCAGACCGAAACAACACGUUCUACGUGUAUGGUAGAGAGUCGACGAGCUUCGGUAGGCUGCAGUCGAUUAAAUUCUUCGUGAUCCGGAGCGUCCCUAGCAUUGCAAAGUUGCUGGGUCUGAAAAUCGUACCUCAGAGGGUGGCUGACUUCUUCAGAGACAUGGUGGCCUCCACUAUAAAGUACAGGGACGAGAAUAACGUUGUUCGACCGGACAUGAUUCAGUUGAUGAUGGAGACCAGAGGGAAACUAGGCCCUGGAAAGGAACUGACGAUCGACGAUAUGACCGCCCAAGCGUUCAUUUUCUUCUUUGGCGGUUUCGAGAGCACCUCGACGCUGAUGUGUUUCGCUGCUUACGAGGUGGGCGUGAACCCCGAUGUCCAGAAGAGGCUGCAGGAGGAGAUCGACGAGGUUUUGGAGAACAGCAAGGGCGACGUGACCUACGACGCGAUCAACGACAUGAAGUAUCUCGAUGCUAUCAUUUACGAGGCUCUGAGGAUGUACCCGGUGGUUGUAGCCACGGACAGAAUGUGCACGAAAUCCUUCGAACUGCCGCCAGCCCUGCCAGGAUUAAAGCCGUACGUUGUGCAGAAGGAUGCGUACCUUUGGAUACCGAUCUACGGGAUCCAGUACGAUCCUGUCUACUACGAGGAGCCGAGGAAGUUCAAUCCGGAUCGGUUCCUUCCCGAUACGAAGGGGAUCUUGAAUUCUGGUUCAUUCUUGAGCUUCGGGGUGGGACCUAGGAUGUGUAUCGGUAAUAGGUUCGCUCUUCUGGAGACCAAGGUCUUGCUUUUCCACGUUUUUGCACGUUGUUCCCUGAAACCUUGCGCUAAGACAGCCAUACCGAUGGUUCUGAGUAAAAAGGGAUUCCAAAUGACGUCGCAGAAUGGAUUCUGGUUCGACAUUGAGCCGAGGAAAAACGCGACGCACGUUUACGUUAAUCCCACGUGCAACGGUAGAGUCGGCCAUUAAAAAUUUACUUUUUUGUAUUUUUAUGUUUGUACGAACUUACGUUUAGAUAAGAAGCGUAGAAGUCGGAGUAAGUAGAUUUUGAUCGUCGGUCGUAUGGUUGAUAAGGGGCAAUUUAGUUGAUUAAAGCUGGAGCACAAACAGAGAUAACAUUCUAUCAAGCAGUAAUCGUCAAUUGUAUAUGAAUUGUUUUUGUUUAAUGAAUAUUAACGGCGCGUAAUAAUCUUCAAUUUUUAGUGGCAUAUAUAACAUGCUCGAAAGUAUACAUACUUUUUAAAAGUUUUUUGUUUGCAAGGAAAAUAAUAUUGCAUAUAUUUUUAUUUUUUUUACGAUAAUGGAUAAUUUUAAUAAUGCUUGAUGUAAAUUAAGAGAUGUGAUUACACUGUUUUGUUAAAUAAAAGUAAAUGUUUGUUCUACUGAACGUAUAAUCGAAUAUUUUUCAGCGGUUGGGUAUUUUUCUUAUUUUGAAAAUUUAUUCCUACUUUGAUGCAAUCUUUCCCAAUUGAUUUCGUAGAAAAAUAUCGUACGUAAACUUGUGAAUUUUCCCCGAAAAUUCAGCAUGUUAAAGCUUGUACAAAGUAUAAAUGUUUAGGUACUGCGUAGUACAAGAAGCUAUCUUUUAUGGCAAAAUACAGAGCUGUUCGUAUACAUUGAAAGUGAUGAAUCAUUCCAACAUUUGUUAUUUUAUCUCCGUCAUCUCACCUACGUUGUUUUGACGUUACUUAAAUUGCAUAAUGUGAGUGUGAAUAAUGAGCCUGAAUAUGUAAACCGUGGAAAGAAAUAGAAUAGUCUCUUAUAAAGUAAUCUAUCAGCCACUAUAUGUGGUAGGAAGUAAAUGAGUAAUAUUUACAAUCAGUUUAGUAGUGAUAUAACUUUCCGUAAGGUAAACAGAAAUAUUGAUUCAGUCGAACGUUGAUUAAGCAACUAACUCUACUGAUACAUAAAUUAAUCAAUCGAACAACAUUCUGGAAAUUCAGCGAAUAAUUGUAUGUACAUACUAACAUUCUCUAAUUACGGAGUUAUGUCAGUUUUGCAUCUAGAUAAGAUUUUUUGCGGACUAGAACAAGGUAGGUGACGAAAUGUUUUAAUUCUAAUUCGCGUGAAAUUUAGGAACAAAAAAAGUUUCUUCGAUGUCUGAAACGAUAAAUAGUACUUUACGAAGUACUUGCAUACACUCUAAACUUGUUAUUUAAAUCACUUGUGAUUUAUUAAAUCAUACCAUAAAUCUUUGUGCAGUUGUGUUUAGUAGGUUGCAUGAUGUAUACAAAUUAUCUUGUUAAGAUGGACUUGUUUUUAGCAUGAAUAUGAAUGAAAAAUGGGAAAUAAAAAUCAACAUGUAACAGACAACCGAAUGUUUACUGAAGCAUUAAUGCAAAAUGAUAAAAACUAUUAUUCAAAACAAUAAUAUGUUUUGAAACAUUCUUUUGCAAUUAUAGCUGAUCUUUUUUAAUAUAGUGGAUAGUAAUAACGCGUUAUAUAACGUUUCUUCUUAUCUUUUCUUCACAGUCAACGCACUAUUUUAAACGUGUAUUACAGCUACGAAUACUUUUAUUUCUUUUUAAUGAGUGCAUUGAACUGUGCUGUCCGAUGCAUAAUGUUGCUUUGCAAGUUCUCUUUUUAAAUUGAAAUUAUUCUGCAUAUCUAUGAGAAGCUAUAUUCUUGUUUUGCGGCAUCUCAGAUACGUCGCAAUACUUUCGACAUUAUUUUAAUUAAAAAUAAUGAUUAUUAAAAUAAAACAGUAUUUGCAUAAAUAUAUCGAUUAUAUUUAUACCCUAAAAUACAUAUAUACGCGUAUGCUUUCCUGUAAAAAAAUUUUUGGAAACUUGUCUUGAUCGUAAUACAUCUUUAUAGAUCGAAAAGUAAAUAUUUAGCAUUUUCCCAAAAUUGACUGUAAUAAUUGAUUAAAUGACUACAAAUCAAAUGAUUUAAAAUGUCAUUAGCGGAUAGUAAAUUUCUAUUCUAACCAUUUUUUCUACACACAUAUAUGGUGUAAUUGAUUAUAGUUAUAAUUAUCAAAUGAAUCGUAUCGUAAACUCAAAAAAAAAAAACGUUUUAUAAAGAAUGAAUGCUUUCUCAACGAGAAUAAGAAUAAUCAGAUAAGAUUAAGUACGUACUCGUGGUAUAGUAUAAAAUGCGCAGUAUACUGAGAGGUACAUACAAAUGACAUUUUUACAGAGGCGUGAGUCAUGAUACGAGCUCCUCUGAUACGUUAGUAAAAUGCUAGCAGUCGUUCGACAGACAGCAUUCUAGCAGCUUCGUUAAUAAAGUGUGUCCACACGAAUAUAAUUAUUGGACGCCCGCGGGAUUAAAAAAAAGUUACACAGACAAGCAAUACACGCGAUUCGAUAAAACGACGCGUGCAAUACAAUGGAACGAUUAUUACGCGAAACGGUGAUUUACAAUUCUUAAAUUACAACGAACACAACGAUCGAGA